GCCGCUGUGGUGGAAUAGGCAGACACAAGGGACUUAAAAUCCCUCGAUAGCGAUAUCGUACCGGUUCAAGUCCGGUUAGCGGCA
rnacentral:tRNA from 1 species